UACGUAGGUGGCAAGCGUUGUCCGGAUUUACUGGGUGUAAAGGGCGUGCAGCCGGGCUGACAAGUCAGAUGUGAAAUCCCGCGGCUCAACCGCGGAACUGCAUUUGAAACUGUCAGUCUUGAGUACCGGAGAGGUCAUCGGAAUUCCUUGUGUAGCGGUGAAAUGCGUAGAUAUAAGGAAGAACACCAGUGGCGAAGGCGGAUGACUGGACGAUGACUGACGCUGAGGCUCGAAAGCGUGGGGAGCAAACAGG
rnacentral:rRNA from 1 species